CCUACGGGGGGCAGCAGUGGGGAAUAUUGCACAAUGGGGGAAACCCUGAUGCAGCAACGCCGCGUGAGUGAUGACGGCCUUCGGGUUGUAAAGCUCUGUCUUCAGGGACGAUAAUGACGGUACCUGGGGAGGAAGCUCCGGCUAACUACGUGCCAGCAGCCGCGGUAAUACGUAGGGAGCGAGCGUUGUCCGGAAUUACUGGGUGUAAAGGGAGCGUAGGCGGGGAUGCAAGUUGGGUGUCAAAACUACCGGCUCAACUGGUAGUCGCACUCAAAACUGCAGCUCUUGAGUGAAGUAGAGGCAGG
rnacentral:rRNA from 1 species